AUUCAGAUGAUCUUGCACGUGGAUUUUUAGUGUUUAUUCUGUUAAGAUGAUGUGUAUUGCAGCACGUCUUAAGGUGGUUUUAGAAUGAUUGGAAAUCAAACGGAGAAAAGAAAUACAUAAUGUUACCUUCCAUGUACAUCGAGACUGUUGGAAAAUUAUCUGAACGUGAUAUAAGGAGCGUAUAAAUGUUUAUAAAUACAGAAUAGUAUAUUCAACACUAACUUGAAUCUACAUGGGCAUAUCUCGAGGGGCAUAGGACUAGUUGACACUAUAAUGAGUUUAUUUAUAGACUAUAUAUGAUCAUAUAUAUACAACUUUGUUGACAAAUUUAAAUUUACGCCAAUAUUUGUUGUAGAUUUUAGAGUUUAAACGACAUUAUAGGAUUUUGAGUGUAAUCAUAUGGAUAUGUGAUCAUAUGUUAUCAUAAAAAUGUAAUUUUGUCUGAUAGUUCGAGACAUUCACUGUUUGAAGAUACCAAGGAUUUGUAUACUAAAAAUACAAACCCUGGUAUAGACUCGGUAUUUACUUACUUAAAUCAUUUGGGUCAUUUCCCAUACGAAUACGAAUACUUUAUUUCUCAUAAAACUACAAUUACAUAGUUAUAGAGGAGGGGCUGGACAGGGGGUCAGUUUCUCCCUGCUCCCGCCCCUCUUCUCCCUUCUCUCUCUCCAUUACCUUUUUCGACAUACAUUUCAUUAAAAUCCACUAAAGGGGCA
rnacentral:lncRNA from 1 species